CACGUAGGGCGCGAGCGUUGUCCGGAUUUAUUGGGCGUAAAGAGCUCGUAGGCGGCUUGUUGCGUCGACCGUGAAAACCCGCGGCUUAACUGUGGGCUUGCGGUCGAUACGGGCGGGCUGGAGUUCGGUAGGGGAGACUGGAAUUCCUGGUGUAGCGGUGAAAUGCGUAGAUAUCAGGAGGAACACCGGUGGCGAAGGCGGCUCUCUGGACGGUGACUGACGCUGAGACGCGAAAGCGUGGGGAGCAAACAGG
rnacentral:rRNA from 1 species